AGCUUUGUGCAAUGGCAGUAUCAUAGCCAAUGAGGUUUAUUCAUGGCAUGAUUAUUACUAAAUUAAGAUCUUAUAAUUUAC
ensembl:snRNA U4 U4 spliceosomal RNA